UACGUAGGGAGCAAGCGUUGUCCGGAAUCAUUGGGCGUAAAGCGCGCGUAGGCGGCCCUGUAAGUCCGUUGUGAAAGUCAAAGGCUCAACCUUUGAAAGCCGAUGGAUACUGCAGGGCUAGAGUCCGGAAGAGGCGAGUGGAAUUCCUGGUGUAACGGCGGUGAAUGCGCAGAUAUCAGGAGGAACACCAGUAGCGAAGGC
rnacentral:rRNA from 1 species